rnacentral:rRNA from 1 species
UAAACCAGGAUUAGAUACCCUAUUAUUUUAACUGUAAAAUGUCAACCUAAUUAGUAUUAGAUAUGAUCUUUAAAUUUAAAGAAUUUGGCGGUAAUUUAACUUUUCAGAGGAACCUGUCCUGUAAUUGAUAAUCCACAAUAAAUUUUACUUUUAUUAUGUUUAUAUAUCUCUAUCAUUGAAUGUCUUUUGAAGGAAAUUUUCUAAANGAUUUUUUAAUCAAAAUGUUAGGUCAAGGUUUAAUAAUAUAAAAGUAGAGAUGGGUUACAUUAUUUUUAUAUGAGGAAAAUUNUAUGGAAAUAUAUUUGAAUUUGGAUUUGAUAGUAAAUUAUUUUAA